rnacentral:rRNA from 1 species
UACGGAGGGUGCAAGCGUUAAUCGGAAUUACUGGGCGUAAAGGGCACGCAGGCGGUUUCUUAAGUCGGAUGUGAAAUCCCCGGGCUUAACCUGGGAAUUGCAUUUGAUACUGGGAGGCUAGAGUGUGGUAGAGGGGGGUAGAAUUUCUGGUGUAGCGGUGAAAUGCGUAGAGAUCAGGAGGAAUAUCGAUGGCGAAGGCAGCUACCUGGGCCAAGAUUGACGCUCAGGUGCGAAAGCGUGGGGAGCAAACAGG